UUCUGGUUGAUCCUGCCAGUAGUUAUAUGAUUGUCUCAAAGAUUAAGCCAUGCAUGUCUAAGUACACAAAAGUGAAACCGCAAAAGGAUCAUUAUAUCUGUUAUUGUUCCUUAGAUCGUUAACAAUUAAUUGGAUAACUGUGGUAAUUCUAGAGCUAACACAUGCAAUUAGAAGUAUCUAGGACUACCAUGGUAGCAACGGGUAACGGGGAAUCAGGGUUCGAUUCCGGAGAGGGAGCCUGAGAAACGGCUACCACAUCUAAGGAAGGCAGCAGGCGCGUAAAUUACCCACUCCCAGCUCGGGGAGGUAGUGACGAAAAAUAACAAUACAGGACUCAUAUCCGAGGACCUGUAAUUGGAAUGAGUACACUUUAAAUCCUUUAACAAGGACCAAUUGGAGGGCAAGUCUGGUGCCAGCAGCCGCGGUAAUUCCAGCUCCAAUAGCGUAUAUUAAAGUUGUUGCGGUUAAAACGUCCGUAGUUGAGCUUGUGCUUCAUACGGGUAGUACAACUUACAAUUGUGGUUAGUACUAUACCUUUAUGUAUUUAAGCGUAUUACCGGUGGAGUUCUUAUAUGUGAUUAAAUACUUGAAUUUUUUCAUAUGUUCCUCCUAUUUAAAAACCUGCAUUAGUGCUCUUAAACGAGUGUUAUUGUGGGCCUGUACUAUUACUUUGAACAAAUUACAGUGAAAUAAGACCUCUGUUCUGCUUUCAUUAGUUUUCAGAUCAAGAGGUAAUGAUUAAUAGAAGCAGUUUGGGGGCAUUAGUAUUACGACGCGAGACAAACAAAGCCACCUUGCAAUUGGGUUUUUUUUUUUUUUUUUUUUUUUUUUUUUUAUAUAUUACAGUAUCUUUAUUUACAUCUGCCCAGGAGGGCAAUCAAUUAAAUUAUGUGGUACGUUGGCGGUUAUGUAGAUUCCCUAGGCAAUCUUAUAUUUGUUAGGUAGGGUCAUCAGAGGAUUCCUUUAGGGAACCCGGAAAGGUAGGUCAAGUGGAUGGUUUCUUCGGAGUCUUCUGCGCUGUAGGCUGUUGUCAAGGAGGUUGACAGCAAGUUGGUUCUGGUGGUUCUCCAGCAUCUCCAGGUGCCUCCUGCUAGCUUUCCUGGAUUCCUCGGCGACACUUUGCAUUUUGAGGUCCCUUUUGAUUCUUGUGUUCCUCACGUAGUAAGGAGAGUUGAGGAUAAAUCUUAGAAUGCGGCAUUCUGCUCUCUGUAGUUUUUUGAUAUUUGUAGGGGAGGCAGUGCCCCACAGCUCAAUGCCGUAUGUCCAAGCCGGCUUUGAUGGCUUUGUAGAGCAGUAGUUUUUAUCUAGUGGGUAGCGUGCUUCGUCUGCCCAGGAGCCAUGUCAUGGAGCGGCAUUUGUGCCUCAUGAGUUUUACUUUUUCCCCUAUGUGGUCCUUCCAUGUGAGACGCUUGUCCAGGGUUAGUCCCAGGUACUUGGCCCUCGCAUAGGACGGUAUGUUGGUGCCGUUGAUGUGGAUGGGGUGGACAGUUGCCUGGUCUGAGUGUAAUCGUGACGUAGGUGGAUUUGUCAGCGUUUAUGGUGAUGUUUCACCUUUUCAGCCAUGACUGAAUCGUGUCCAGCUCGUGUUGCAGCUCUUGCGCUGCCAGAGUAGGUGUUGCGUCAGAGAACACCUAGCAAUUUUGUGUAGCUACUUUUAUGGCUCUCUCAGUCGCUUCCCGAGAAACCAAAGCUUUUGGGCUCCGGGGGAAGUAUGGUUGCAAAGCUGAAACUUAAAGGAAUUGACGGAAGGGCACCACCGGCUUAAUUUGACUCAACACGGGAAAACUUACCAGGUCCGAACAUAAGUGUGUAAGACAGAUUGAUAGCUCUUUCUCGAAUCUAUGGGUGGUGGUUCAUGGCCGUUCUUAGUUCGUGGAGUGAUUUGUCUGGUUAAUUCCAAUAACGAACGAGACUCAAAUAUAUUAAAGAGAUAUCUUCAGGAUUAUGGUGCUGAAGCUUAUACAGCCUUCAUUCAUGGUGGCAGUAAAAUGUUUAUUGUGUUUGAAUAUGUUUAUGUAAGUGGAGCCGUACCUGUUGGUUAGUCCCAUUAUAAGGACACUAGCUUCUUAAAUGGACAAAUUGCGUCUAGCAAUAAUGUAGCUGCACAGGCGCUACAAUGAAAGUAUCAACGUGUAUUUCCUAGACCAGAGGUCCGGAUAAACCGCUCAACCACUUUCAUGUUUGGGAUGGUGAACUGAAAAUGUUCACAUGAACUUGGAAUUCCCAGUAAGUGUGAGUCAUUAACUCGCAUUGAUUACGUCCCUGCCUUUGUACACACCGCCCGUCGCUACUACCGAUUGAAUUAUUUAGUGAGGUCUCCGGACGUGAUCACUGUGACGCCUUGCGUGUUAGUGUUGUUUCGCAAAAGUUGACCGAACUUGAUUAUUUAGAGGAAGUAAAAGUCGUAACAAGGUUUCCGUAGGUGAACCUGCGGAAG
rnacentral:rRNA from 1 species